AGAGUUUGAUCCUGGCUCAGGAUGAACGCUAGCGGCAGGCUUAACACAUGCAAGUCGAGGGGUAACGGAGGAGGCUUGCUUUCAGACGACGACCGGCGCACGGGUGAGUAACGCGUAUGCAACCUACCUGUAACAACAGAAUAGCCCGGAGAAAUUCGGAUUAAUACUGUAUAAUAUUUAGAUGUGGCAUCAUAUUUAAAUUAAAGAUUUAUCGGUUACAGAUGGGCAUGCGUAAUAUUAGCUAGUUGGUGAGGUAACGGCUCACCAAGGCGAUGAUAUUUAUGGGGUCUUAAAGGAUGGUCCCACACACUGGUACUGAGACACGGACCAGACUCCUACGGGAGGCAGCAGUGAGGAAUAUUGGUCAAUGGGCGCAAGCCUGAACCAGCCAUGCCGCGUGCAGGAUGACAGUCCUACGGAUUGUAAACUGCUUUUAUACGAGAAGAAACCUGAUUACGUGUAAUCAGCUGACGGUAUCGUAAGAAUAAGGAUCGGCUAACUCCGUGCCAGCAGCCGCGGUAAUACGGAGGAUCCAAGCGUUAUCCGGAUUUAUUAGGUUUAAAGGGUGCGCAGGCGGAAAGGUAAGUCAGUGGUGAAAUCCUACAGCUUAACUGUAGAACUGCCAUUGAUACUGUCUUUCUUGAGUAUAGUUGAGGUAGGCGGAAUGUGUAGUGUAGCGGUGAAAUGCAUAGAUAUUACACAGAACACCGAUUGCGUAGGCAGCUUACUAAACUAUUACUGACGCUCAUGCACGAAAGCGUGGGGAGCGAACAGGAUUAGAUACCCUGGUAGUCCACGCCGUAAACGAUGAUUACUCGUUGUCUGCGAUAUACUGUAGGCGACUGAGCGAAAGCAUUAAGUAAUCCACCUGGGGAGUACGUUCGCAAGAAUGAAACUCAAAGGAAUUGACGG
rnacentral:rRNA from 1 species